UAGGGAAGCCGUAGAGAAAUCGAGUCCGAAUAGGGCGAAUAGUCGCUGGGUGUAGACCCGAAACCAAGUGAUCUACCCAUGGCCAGGAUGAAGGUGAGGUAACACUUACUGGAGGUCCGAACCGACUACUGUUGCAAAAGUAGCGGAUGAGCUGUGGGUAGGGGUGAAAGGCUAAACAAACCUGGAAAUAGCUGGUUCUCUCCGAAAACUAUUUAGGUAGUGCGUCGUGUAUCACUCCGGGGGGUAGAGCACUGUAAUGGUUGCGGGGGUCAUCUGGACUUACCGCGCCAUAGCAAACUCCGAAUACCCGGAAGUGCCAGCACGGCAGACAGUCCUCGGGUGCUAACGUCCGAGGUCGAGAGGGAAACAACCCAGACCGCCAGCUAAGGUCCCAAAUAACCGCUAAGUGGGAAACGAAGUGGGAAGGCUAAAACAGUCAGGAGGUUGGCUUAGAAGCAGCCAUCCUUUAAAGAAAGCGUAAUAGCUCACUGAUCGAGUCGUCCUGCGCGGAAGAUGUAACGGGGCUAAGCGGUUAACCGAAGCUGCGGAUUUGGAAGAAAUUCCAGAUGGUAGGGGAGCGUUCUGUACGUCUGUGAAGGUGAGUCGAGAGGCUUGCUGGAGAUAUCAGAAGUGCGAAUGCUGACAUGAGUAGCGUUAAAGCGGGUGAAAAGCCCGCUCGCCGUAAGCGCAAGGUUUCCUACGCCACGUUCAUCGGCGUAGGGUGAGUCGGCCCCUAAGGCGAGGGCGAAAGCCGUAGCUGAUGGGAAGCUGGUUAAUAUUCCAGCACCGUCUCUGAGUGCGAUGGGGGGACGGAUCGUGGAAGGUUGUCCGGGUGUUGGAAGUCCCGGUUCUUGGCCUGUAGGUGUCCGGUAGGCAAAUCCGCCGGGCGUAUGCCGAGGGGUUGAGACGAGCGAGCUUGCUCGCGAAGCAAUUGGAAGUGGUCCCAGGAAAAGCCUCUAAGCUUCAGCUCAGAGAGACCGUACCGCAAACCGACACUGGUGCGCGAGAUGAGUAUUCUAAGGCGCUUGAGAGAACUCUGGAGAAGGAACUCGGC
rnacentral:rRNA from 14 species